UACGUAGGGUGCAAGCGUUAAUCGGAAUUACUGGGCGUAAAGCGUGCGCAGGCGGUUUUGUAAGUCAGAUGUGAAAUCCCCGGGCUUAACCUGGGAACUGCGUUUGAAACUACAAGGCUAGAGUGUGGCAGAGGGGGGUGGAAUUCCACGUGUAGCAGUGAAAUGCGUAGAGAUGUGGAGGAACACCGAUAGCGAAGGGCAGCCCCCUGGGUUAACACUGACGCUUAGGCACGAAAGCGUGGGGAGCAAACAGG
rnacentral:rRNA from 1 species